CAGGAGCAAUUAUAGCAGUUUAAACUUGCCUUAACAGCUCAUUAUUUAUUUGUGUUCUUUCAGGAAUAUGAAAUAAUUUUGGGUAUCAAAUCCCUGCAGUUUGCUUGCUCAUCUUACACCCUUCGUCCAAACGAGAAUUUUCUAGACUUGUUCUUUAUGCAACAAUACUUAAGUGAGGAUAGCGAGUACGUAACUGGUAUUGUAGGAGUGUGCAGCUCCUCUGAACUCGAGAAACCGCCAAAGCCCAAAAAGAGUGUGUUUAAACGCCUCAGCUGCCUGUUUUCAAAGAGAGGUGUUAAAAUACACAACACUCAAACUAAAAGCUCUGAGCAGCGAGCAUCCCUUCAGAAUGAGGAUUCAGACGACAGCAUUACCGCAGCCAGCAUUUUAUCAGAUUCCAGCCACUUGGAAAUGGAAGAGCCGAGCACUUCGCAAAAAGCGCCGGAAAAGCCAUUAAGAUCCGUGGAUACUGCCUCCUCUGGAGGUUUAUCCAACAGUGGUGCAUCAGCAAAAUCAAAUUAUGACAAAGCCAAGUCUCGUAGGCGUGCAGGUUUGGGCAGCUGCUGGUGUGCAACACGUCGGAGGGACAACCGCCAGAAUGAGAAAAGCUGCCUCAUCCGAGUCAGAUUAGAGGAGGACAGAGCACAAGAAUUCAAAACUAUUUUGGUGACUAAUCAAGAUCGUGUAUCUGAAGUUCUCAACAAAGCCAUCACCGCGCUCAAAUUUGAACCCGAGCGUCCUCAGCAAUUUGCUCUAGCACAGAUCAUUGAAUCAAAUAAAGUGCUCAUACUUCCGGCCGAUGCCAUCCUGUAUUAUGCAAUGAACAAGAAAGUGAAUCAUGACUUCAUCCUGAGAUUCACUGAAAGAAGAUCUUCAUGUCUAUGCAAGUUUUAGCUGUAAGGAACAUAAUGUUUCAUGGGACUCUGUUGGAUCUAAAAUCUCUGCUCAGUACCAAAAACCCUGCAAUAUAUGAAUAAAUUACUUUGGCAGUGUUCUACUUUAAAUUAUUGGACAAUUUGGAGAGAGUGACUUGACUUCAGACAAUUGCUUAACAUUAACUUUUGAGUCCAGUGCUUGUUUGUCCUUUUCAAACAUCUUGCACAUCAGCUAUUUUUUCUGGAAUGCUGGAGAAUUGAACCCUGCCACCGGUCUUCUAUGAACAUCACAGUCAUGUAUCAAUUGGUUGGAUGAGAAAAAGAAUCGUUUACGUAUCAAUCUUGUUGACCAAUUGUGAUUGAAUUUGCUUGGGUUCCUCAAUGGUUGUUUGGUUAAAAAGCAAACCAGCCAUUUGUUCAGCCAAUGGCAGGAUGAUGAAUACUUCAACUGAAGUGUUUGGUUUGGCCUUUAAACUCUUCAGCACUCCAUUCCUGCCUUCAAUAUUUUUAUUUCUCCAGUGGUUUAAACUAAUUUGGACAGAAUGCCAUUGACAUGCCUUCAACAAAGGGCAAUGUUCGAGCCUCCUUCCCAAUGUGAAUCAAUGAGCUCUGGUGAGGAAGGGCUUUAGAGAGCUCACCGCCCUGAUUUUUGAGAGGUCAUAUGUAUUUUAUUUCCUUCUCCUCCUGUAAAUCGCUUGGUGCUCGACAUAGGAUUCACUAAUUAGACAUUUACACAUAACCACUUUAAAAUUAAAAUGGUUCACCAUCGAGGCUAUGCCAACAAUACCAGCCACAGGUAGAAGAGAAAAUCAUCUGAGUUCUUUGUCUAAGUUUGUUUCUAAAAAUAGUGUUCAGUAAAUGUUUUCAAUGUUCUUACAUUUGUUUUAAAUUAAAAAACUUAAAUUGCAA